rnacentral:tRNA from 1 species
CAAAGUAAAGCUUUGGAGUAAAGCAUUUCAUUUACACUGAAAACUUGUCUGUGCAACUCAGAAUACUUUGA